rnacentral:lncRNA from 10 species
AAAGUGCUGGGAUUACAAGCUUGAGCCACCGCGCCCGGCUAAUAAAUAAAUAUUUUUUUAAAAAGAAUGAAAAUAAGGAACAUACCAAAGCGAAUGCCUGGUAUGAGACAGGGGAUCAAUAUAUGUUACUGUCUCUGGAUUAAACAACUUUUCUCCACUCCCACUUUGCUUCCUUUGAUUCAAUUAACCAAUAUUUAUGAGUGCCUAUGAUGAAAAGGAAAGAAAUGCUAUCCUCAUGGAGCUUAUAGUCAAGAGGAGUGUCAAUCAUUAAUCAAAUCACACAAACAAAUUUAAUUGCAAUUAACAAGUAGUAGAAAUGAGACAGUAUGUAGUAGAUUUGUCUGAAAGGACUAGAAGGGGUUCCCAGGUUAAAUAACACUUAAAAGAGGAAGAUUUUUAAGGUAUAAGAUUUUAAAGUGUAAACAGAAGUAGGGUGGAGGUUGGGGCUGAGGAAUGUGUAACAACUUUGGAAAGGAAAGGAAUUACGCGGCUGGAGCUUGGGUAGGGAGAGCAGUGUGAAAUAGAAGGAACAUCAGCAAAGGGAACCAAAGAAAAAAAGUCUGUCAAAGGCAAUAAAGGUAAGAGGUCUUCAAAUCCUCAAAUCCCACUUUCUCAGGUCUUAGAAGCCAGAGGAAUUUUUCUGAAGAAGAAAAGCCAGGGAAGAAAUUUCCGUCAUAUAUUUUGCAAAUCCUACAGUUCAUGGGAGUCUAGCUUAAACUGCACCUUCCUGAAGCAUCUUUUGGUCACCAUUGCCCUAACCGAUCCCUUCCUAUCUUCAGACUUCCACAGCAUAUUUGGUUCUGUUGAUCAUUUUUUCCUUCACUUGCUACUUGGAGUUAAGAAUUUCAAUGUGCAAUGAUUUGGGAACAGACAGCUGUAAAUUUGAAGACCCAUUCUUGAAACCGGACUACCUAUUCUAAAAAUAAGUUUGAACAAUAUCUACCUUUAUUCGGGUGUGGGAAUGGAGUGUUAAAAUUUACAUAGAAUAAUUAAGUGAAGUACUUACACUAUGCCUAAGAAGUAAUGGCCGGGCGCGGUGGCUCAAGCCUGUAAUCCCAGCACUUUGGGAGGCCGAGACGGGCGGAUCACGAGGUCAGGAGAUCGAGACCAUCCUGGCUAACACAGUGAAACCCCGUCUCUACUAAAAAAUACAAAAAAAAAAAAACUAGCCGGGCGAGGUGGCGGGCGCCUGUAGUCCCAGCUACUCGGGAGGCUGAGGCAGGAGAAUGGCGUAAACCCGGGAGGCGGAGCUUGCAGUGGGCCGAGAUCUGGCCACUGCACUCCAGCCUGGGCAA